AGAAAACCUUACAGACCCAGGCUGUCCUGCUCCACUUUGCAACCCAACAACCCAUUUCCAGCGUCCACACACUCUGCCAUACAUGGUGCAUUCUGAACAC